rnacentral:misc_RNA from 1 species
UAACAGAAAAAUGCAUCUGUAGGAAGCAAUAUUAUUAGCUCCUUUAUUCUUCAAUAAUAAAUGUGGAAGGCAGAAUUUUUUUAUUUUUGUACAAAGAAAAGAAUAUGCUUAUCCAAAUCUUUGUAUGAUACUGUCUCAUUGUUCUCAUUGUCCCAAUGACCCAGAGCUUCACAACCUCUAAACCAGGGUGACAAAGGUUGACUCACUUAGCUUCUUUUUCUUGUCUCCAGUGAUCCAGAGCUUCACAACCUCUGAACCAGGGUGGCAAAGAUUGACAUACUUAGCUUCUUUAUCUUGUCUUCUAUAGUUUAGUUUCAGACACAGGCUCAAAUUCUUGUGGACUCUUCUAGGUGCUAUGAGUAUGACACUUUAGUACUCUAUGUGCCACUUUUCUUUGUUAACCUACAAUGGUAUAACUAUAUUACAUGUAUACAGAUCCAUAUCUUUACACUACUGCAACCUCUGUAGCUUUCUUAGAAUGGCUCUCUUUGAUAAAUCUUACAUAGAGGUCUGUCCUGCUUGAGUCACACUCUGGAAGGGUAGCAUUUCGACCUCCUUCCGACAUGCUCUUCACAAAUUGCACUAGAUUCCGCCAAUUUUCUGGCUCAAACAACCGUUUGUUCAUCCGUAAGAAUGUAAAUGCACUCAAUCCAUUUCCAGAAUCUGACAUGCUUGUUGCCAAAACUUGAGAAAAUGCUCCUCCAUCAUACCUUUCUAGAGCAUUUUCUCCAGCAAGUUCUACUUCAGCAGUUCUAGCUGCAGUUUUAACUUGUCGAACUAAGCCUUCUGGUGAGCAGUUUGCACUCUGGGGCUGUUCACCAUCCCUCAUUUCCAUACAUGUAAAGUUAAGUACAACACCGUGUUUCGCUAACAUACGUGCUAUAGGUAGAUAACCAUCUCUGUGUCUUGUAUUAUAAUAUCCUGCUGUUAACUCUGCAGCAUGUGAUCUAGUAUUGUAAUGCCAAUGAAUUCCAGCUAUCUUUCCAGAUAGUUUAGCCCCAGUUCCUUGGUAUAUACUUUCUCCUGCUGCUAGUAUUCUGUCACCAUGCUCCAGUAGCUUUCCUGAAUACCACUCUAGGAAGAACUGUCCAUAGUCACUAUUCCAUGUUCCAUCCCGUUGGAAAAAUCCAGUAUCCUCGGGAAACUGGUUGUACUGCCCAGAAUCAUGAGGCCCUCCCUGGCCCCAGUCAUCCUUUCCAGUUGCCUUGGCUGCUGCCGCCAAUGAAGCUCUCAUGUACUUGUCAUAGCAUUGGAAUUCUCCAAUUCCAGGAAACCUCCAUGUACCAUUGCUUUCUGGAUAGGCUGGGUAUCUUAGCUCUCCACAAGGACCCAUUCCCACUUGGAUUUCCACUAUGAUGUUUCCCAAGUAAUUGUUGAAUCUCUCUCUGAAGCUCCUCAUAUAGUCAGUGUAUACUUGAAUAGGUGUUCUUCCUUUGAGUACUGGUAACAUAUCACAACCUAAGGAUAGAUACUCGGGAUUUCUCCGGCCUGAUCUAUCUGUGUAGACAAGGUCAGGAUUCUUACUGAUUUCUUCGAGUACCCAUGGAGGUAGAGGAAUACUGCAGGAGUCUCCAACAUUUCCUCCACACUGAUGAAAAGACAUGACAACUUGAAGCUUCAACCCAUGUUCUCGACACAUAUUUACAAGUUCAGCAUAUCCUUCCCAAUUAUACUUCAAAGGUCCAUCUUUCUCCACCAAUCCCCACCAAGCAUCCACCAUCACCCCUUCAGCUCCAGAACUUUUCAACGCCAUCAAACUCGCAUUCAUCGCUCGUGGCCUGUUCAAGUUCCCUCCCAUAGUCAUGGUGUCAAGUGGAAGCAUCACAAAAACAGGUACCCUUGUACUACUAUUGCUAUGAUUAGCUGUUAACUCAUGUAGCUUCUCUCUUUUCUCAAUUUUCCUCACUUCCAUGAUUCUCUCAUGGGAGAGUUGAGCUUCUUGCAUCGAACUUUUCGCAACUAGCCGACAUGAUGAUGGCUUGGCUUGUGCAAAAGAAACCAUUCCUAAGAACUCAUCAGGUGUUUUAACACCUUUGGUUUCUUUGAAAUUGAUAAAAGAAGCUGAUGAUUGAAGUGUUAAAGUCAUUUCUUGUUUCUGAUGUUUGAUAGUAAAUAGAUAAACAGAAUGUGUAGUUUUUGAUAAUAG